GGAGUGUUAGCUUAGAGGGAAAGCAACUGCCUUACAAGCAGUAGACCGGGGUUCGAGUCCCUCACACUCCA